GGGCACGAACGGCAGAGCAUGCCGGUGUAAGCCUCCUAAGCUCGGGGUCACGGGUUCGAAUCCCGUCCCGCCCGCCA
rnacentral:tRNA from 1 species